GUUGUUAUAAUAAUUUAACAUUAAUUGUGCAUACUUUCUUCAAUUCUGUGUUUUCCAAAGAAAGGUUUUGCCUUAUUUUCAGCUUUAUUCACACAAUCAAGUCUUGAUAAACAUCUUUUUUUUAUAAAAUUUCGUGACAACGUCAAUAAAGUUAUUAUUUUCACACAAAUUCAUAUCAAAGACGAGCGUAGGGUUUGUUGUGACAAAAAAAACAUGCAGUGAAUAGUUCGUACGAAAUGAAAAGUGAAGUCGUUAAAUUCCGUUUCGGUUUCACGUAACAAUUUCCGGUUGAAGUUGGAAACAAAAAUUUUCGAAUGAUUAGAAUUGAAGUUGAUGCAAAAAAUUCGUUUCUGAGAUAUAGAUAUUUAAAGCUGCCAAAUCACAACAUAUAUUUAAGUAUAUUUUCUAAAUUAUACAUUCGAAUAUUAUAAUGGGCGAUUAUGUAUGUUGAUGUAGUAUUUUGGAUGGAUUCUACACUACUAUCUUAAAUCCAGGGGCGGCUUAUUCCCAAUGGUUAUGAGUUUUCAAUCGUUUCUCAACAAAAAGAUACUUUUUGUUUAACUCUAGUUUAGAAGGAGGUAUUAAAACACAGUUGCUGGAAAAGUACUGUUCAGUUAUGAAGCUGGUUUCACACGAGACGGUUUUAUUAAUUCCCAUAACUCACAUUUAUGUUAAAAUAUAGGCAGGAGUAGUGGGUAAUAAUAACCUGGAUGGUCAGCGGUACUUAGAUUUUCUCCAAGAUGAUUUCUCAUCCAUUUUAUGUGAUAUUCCUUUAAACUUUCGUGGUUUAUGUACGAUGGAACUUCUCCUGACUCCCUAAAUGAUGUAAUAACAUUUUUCUUAAUAGAUGGAUUGGUCGGGGAGGACCAUUUGCAUGGUCACCAUGUUCCCCUGAAUUAAAUACAACAAAUUCGUUUUUUGAGGGAUAUUAUUAAAAGUUUGGUAUUUGAAACACUGGUAAAUACAAGAUCGAUAGAAUAUACUUCCAUUGUGUCCAAGUUCCAAGUUUUUUAUGAGUCACUGGAUAUUCAGCAAGUGAUGAAUAAUAAAACAUAAAUGUACCUGAGUUAAUACCAAGUUUUUGGGUUUUUAUUGGUCUUUUAUAACCAUAAGCUGUAUAGAAUAAUAAAAAAAGGUUUAGACGGGUCGAAAGGCCUGUGUACUAAUGACUAUAUAGAUUUUAUUUGUCAACAAAGUAAUAAAGAUUAAAAAUUUGGUUUUAUUUCAA